rnacentral:misc_RNA from 1 species
UCUCCGUUGGUGAACCAGCGGAGGGAUCAUUAUCGAGUUUAUAACUCCCAAACCCUAUGUGAACUUACCACUUGUUGCUUCGGCGCGCGCUUCGGCGCCGCCGAGGACACUUAAACUCUUUGUUUUUAUAAGCAUUUUUGAGUGGCCGAGAGGCAAAAUACAAAUGAAUCAAAACUUUCAACAACGGAUCUCUUGGUUCUG